AUCAAACCAGUAAUAAAGUCUGCGCACGCAGCCAAACUUUGUGUAUCAUACACAUGCGUGUAAAUGUAGUUGUGAUAAAGUCGAAACAAAACAGAAAGCAGCUGACUGAAAACUCAGUUCGGUCUCGGUUGUUAAUAGAUUUUUCAGUAGAUUCGACUACUUUAAUCAAUAGCGAUCUCUAGUAAUAUUUAAAUUACUUUGAUACGGAUUUCCUAUUUAAAACAUCCGCUCUGCCUCGAUGCAUGUACCCAGCAGGUCCAGGUCAACCAGGAAUUGUAAACGAAAUUACAAGUCAAACCGCAGGGUUCUUUCAAGCCGGACUGAAUCGUGCAUAAAUCUAGUAAGUUUAUAUGAAAACAUGAUCUGGAGGAUGAAGCUAGGAUGUUCGACUGGCCAAUCGUCAAAAUUUUGGAUUUCAACCGUUUUAAACAGAAAUCUAAAGAGAAAUAUGAAAAAUUGAUAAAUAGGAGACAAGACAACGGCGCUUCGUGUUGAAAAAGAGCUAGAAAAAUACCGUUGAAUACGGUAAUAAGUUGCUAAGAUGAUUAUUAACGUUUAUUGUGAAAUACAAAAUAAAUAUUCUAAAUAACAUUAAUGGUAUAAAUAGUUCCUGUUAUAUUGUUCGAGUUUGUAA